AACGCGAAGAACCUUACCUGGGCUCGAACGGCUUUGGAUCGACGGUGGAAACACUGUUUUCCCGCAAGGGACCGGAGUCGAGGUGCUGCAUGGCUGUCGUCAGCUCGUGUCGUGAGAUGUUGGGUUAAGUCCCGCAACGAGCGCAACCCUUGUCCUGUGUUGCCACUCCCGUAAGGGAAGCACUCUCAGGAGACCGCCAGCGAUAAGUUGGAGGAAGGUGGGGAUGAUGUCAAGUCCUCAUGGCCUUUAUGUCCAGGGCUACACACGUGCUACAAUGGACGGUACAAAGCGUCGCUAACCUGCGAAGGGGAGCCAAUCGCAAAAAACCGUUCUCAGUUCGGAUUGCAGGCUGCAACCCGCCUGCAUGAAGCUGGAAUCGCUAGUAAUGGCAGAUCAGCACGCUGCCGUGAAUACGUUCCCGGGCCUUGUACACACCGAGACGUA
rnacentral:rRNA from 1 species